rnacentral:pre_miRNA from 11 species
UUGCAUGCUUUUCCACGGCUUUCUUGAACUUGGAACUUAGGUGUGCUUCUCUCUCUUCUUCUUCUUCUUCUCCUUUCUCUCUACAUCCAUACGUAUGUUUCUCUUCAGAGAAUACUCUUAAUAUGAAAUUAAAUCUUAGUACGAAGUUCAAGAAAGCCGUGGGAAAAUAUGAAAU